CCUACGGGUGGCAGCAGUGAGGAAUAUUGGUCAAUGGGCGCUAGCCUGAACCAGCCAAGUAGCGUGAAGGAUGACUGCCCUACGGGUUGUAAACUUCUUUUAUAAGGGAAUAAAGUGCAGUACGUGUACUUCUUUGCAUGUACCUUAUGAAUAAGGAUCGGCUAACUCCGUGCCAGCAGCCGCGGUAAUCCGGAGGAUCCGAGCGUUAUCCGGAUUUAUUGGGUUUAAAGGGAGCGUAGACGGGUUGUUAAGUCAGUUGUGAAAGUUUGCGGCUCAACCGUAAAAUUGCAGUUGAUACUGGCAGGCUGGAGUACAGUAGAGGUAGGCGGAAUUCGUGGUGUAGCGGUGAAAUGCUUAGAUAUCACGAAGAACUCCGAUUGCGAAGGCAGCUUGCUGAACUGUAACUGACGUUGAUGCUCGAAAGUGUGGGUAUCAAACAGGAUUAGAUACCCGGGUAGUC
rnacentral:rRNA from 1 species